rnacentral:rRNA from 1 species
CCUACGGGUGGCAGCAGUGGGGAAUAUUGCACAAUGGGGGAAACCCUGAUGCAGCGACGCCGCGUGAAGGAAGAAGUAUUUCGGUAUGUAAACUUCUAUCAGCAGGGAAGAAAAUGACGGUACCUGACCAAGAAGCCCCGGCUAACUACGGGCCAGCAGCCGCGGUAAUACGUAGGGGGCAAGCGUUAUCCGGAGUUACUGGGUGAAAAGGGAGCGUAGGCGGUUUAGCAGGUCAGAAGGGAAAGCCCGGGGCUCAACUCCGGGACGGCUUUUGAAACGGUUGAACUAGAUGGCAGGAGAGUUAGUGGAAUUCCUAGUGUAGCGGUGAAAUGCGUAGAUAUUAGGAGGAACACCAGUGGCGAAGGCGGCUUACUGGACUGUAAAUGACGCUGAGGCUCGAAAGCGUGGGGAGCAAACAGGAUUAGAUACCCGAGUAGUC